GAGCAGAAACAGCUAAUCAGGUGUUUCCAUCUCACACUGAGCAUGGUACCACCUUAUCAGCCAGGUGACAGAUUCCCUCACCUGCAGAUGUCUUCAGCCCCCCGGGACCCCCCUGCUCUGUAAACAGCCGUUUGGUGGGAAAGUUUGGUCCAUCCGUCUCUCUUCCUGUCAGGUAAGAUGAGCCGAGGCGGCUGCAGUCCACUGAUCGAUCGUCUUCUGCAGACUGCUGUCAGACUUCUUCUUCUUCUGCUGCUGCUGCUGCUGCUGCU